GGCAUGGCGGUAGUUUUGAGGCCUAAAAUGAUGGCAUCAUUGACGGAGAAAGGCAUGGCUUCUUCAAAUAGUUCCUUGCGAAAGGUGAUAAAAGAUGGUAGCGAAGAAAAAACAGAUGUAUCGAAAAACAGUGAUGAACUGCACCUGAUUGAAAGUGUUCCUUGGACAUUUUCUUGCAGUGGCCAUGUCAUGGUUCAUUUUGACAGCAAGCAAAAUCAUUUUAUUAGCAACAAAAACACAUGUAUUUAAAUUUCCCAUAAAUUUGAUAUUAACACCAAGUCAUUUAACAUAAAAUCACUAACUGUAACUUAAGUCUCCAUCAAUUGUUUUGUAAUCAACUGAAUAAUAUUAUACAUAUCCAGCGAAUGAAAGUGUACUUUUUCUCAAAUUUUAAUAAGUAUCACAAGAUAUAAAAGUAUCAUAAGGUAUAAGUAGACAGCAAACAAAACUCCUGAAACUUUCUAAUAUAUGUUCAACAUCAUCAAAAGCAGGCAGAUAACUGUGCAGAACUUAAUUUACAUAUUACAAACUUUAUUUGAAAAUAUUGCCUUAGCUCUAAAAACGAUUUGUCAAUUCAUAAAAUAGUUCAUGUUUUCUUAUUUAUAUUGCAAUUAUUAAAUGUAAAAUUUUCUAUUAAAUAUUCAAUUAAUAGUU